GUGACAACCUGCUUGUUGCACAGAGCUGGCUGCACCGUUAUUCAUAAACCCUCCUGCUUCUUCACAGCUCAAGACACGCCUUCUUUACGCCCAUUUAACACAUGCACUUACCUGAUUGGUCCGCUGUUCAAUCUGACUCCUAGCUCCAGUUUGAAAAUGUCAGUGUCUCAGCAGACAGCGUAACAGAAACAGCUGCUGCUACUACGUCUGCAUAUUCCGUUCUAUCGACCAGUAACAAAGUCAGUCCGAGGCCGUUUAAUCCCUCGUGCUUUCAGUAUUUUGCCACUGUUCUGGAUCCCACCGAUCAUUAAGGAAAAGGAGAAAACCAAACAAACAAAGAAACUUCAUUCUGUGCUCCUGCCGUGCUGACGUGUCAUCACAAUUACCCGGAAGCCGGUGACAUCACAGUUAAAGGUCCUCCUGAAACCAACAACAGAAAACCUGUUCCAGCGCCUGCCUCUGAGCAAGAUUAUUUUCUCAUCAGACCUCUCUUGCUGUGGGGCAAUCUAUAUUGGAGCCCUAAUCCGUUGGAUUAUAAUGGACAUUUAUUUUUGGAGAAGAAUUUUGUGAUUAUUUUUUGAUGGCUAUAUAUUUAUUUUUCUUUUUGAAAUACAAGGACUGUUAAGCCUAAUUUUUUGUUGU